UUUAUGAGUAAAUUAGUCAUAUGUUAGGAGGGCAAAUCCGCCGAAUUUAAGCAUAUAAUUAAGCGGAAGAAAAGAAAAUAACCAUGAUUCCUUAAGUAACGGCGAGUGAACAAGGAUAAGCUCAAUGGGAAAAUCUAGUUUCUUACGAAAGUUAGGAGCUUGAAUUGUCCAGUUUACAAGGAAUUUAUCCAAUUAUCUCUUAUUAUAGAUGCGAAGUAAGCAGGAAUGCUUCUCCUUAGAGGGUGAAAGGCCCGUAGUUUUCUUUAUUUUUGGUUUUUGGAUUUUUUCCUCUAGAGUCGUGUUCUUUGAGAUUGGAGCACAAAAGUGUGUGAUACAUUUCACAUAAAGCUAAAUAUGUGUAGGAGACCGAUAGGAAACAAGUACCGUGAGGGAAAGGUGAAAUAGUACUCAGGAAUGAGCAAUUAAAUAGUACCUGAAAUCGUUAAGGUGGAACGGAUUAAGAAAGAAAAAAAAUAAGAAGGAAAUGAUUCCAUAUGGAUUCUUUUUUCUUUCCUAUUAAAAGAAACAUCAGUGAGCUAGGAUAAUUAAGAUAAAGUAAUACCUGAAAUUAGUUAAAAUAUUGUAACUUUUAUCAAUUCAUCCCAAUACUAAAGUCGGGAAAAAUUACUUUAUAAUAAUUUUAAAAAAAGAAUUAUUCCAUUUACUGAGGUUAUAUCAAACAUGACAGAAUAUUUUUUCUUGUCGUUUAAGUUGUUUCUAGAAAGUACUUUCUUAACCCACUCGUCUUGAAACACGGACCAAGGAGUCUAGCAAAUGUGCAAGCGCGUAUGAUUAUUAUUAAACAUUUUAAAUAAUUUUUCUACGCAUAACUAAUGUAAAACAUAUUUUUGGUAGAUUAAGGGGAAGGGAAACCUUCCUUCUUAUGCAUACCAUACCGGUUGGCGAUAUAAUGCUUUAUUGAGUAAUAGCAUAUUUGGUAGGACCCGAGAGGCUUUGAACUAAGCGUGACGAGAUCGAAGUCAGACGAAAGUCUGAUGGAAGAUUGAAUUGAUACUGACGUGCAAAUCGUUCUUUUCAGUCACGUUUAGGGGCGAAAGACUAAUCGAAAAGCCUAUUAGCUGGUUAUUUUCGAAAGAUCUCUCAGGAUCGCUGGAGUUGACUUUUAAUAUAAUUUUACCAGGUAGAGAUAAUGAUUAGAGGAAUCAGGGAAAUCGUUUUCCUUGACCUAUUCUCAAACUCCCAAUGGGUAAAAAGAUUAAAAUAACUUUCUUGUAUUUUAAUCAUACUUUUUUUGCAAAUAAAAUAACUCCAAGUGGGCCAUUUUUGGUAAGCAGAACUGGCGAUGAGGGAUGCUCCUAACGCUUGGAUAAGGUGCCUAAAUAU
rnacentral:rRNA from 1 species